rnacentral:lncRNA from 12 species
GCCAAGACCCCGAGUCUCCAAGUCUCUGCCAUCUAGUGGCCAUAGUCAAGAGAUACUGGUUUUCUACACAGCUUUAAAUGUACAAAUGUUGACCACUAGAUUUUUAGGACUGAAACGGAACUUAAAGAAGUCAUCAAGCCUGUCCUCAAUAUUUCUGAGCUCAGCAGGAUUCCAGGAGGAAAAAAGUCCUUGCACCUUGAGGAAAGGCUCUCCAUCUAGUAGGCGAACCUUAGAACAAAAUCAACCAGGGAUGAAAUGUAGCUGCAAACAAGGCCAAGCAACGGAGUGGCAACCACCAGUGCAGUUAGCUCAAAACUUUGAAAAAAAAAAAAAAAAACAAAAACAAAACCUGGGUGGCUCAGUGUUUGGGCAUCUGCCUUUGGCUCAGGGCAUGAUCCUGGAGUCCCAGGAUCGAGUCCCGUAUUGGGCUCCCUGCUCAUGGAGCCUGCUUCUCCCUCUGCCUAUGUCUCUGCCUCUCUCCUUCUGUGUAUCUCAUGAAUAAGUAAAUCUUAAAAAAAAACCUUUGAAGCAUGGUUAAUUAUUAAUAAAUUAUUAAUUAUGAAUUAAUGCCCUCUAACU